UUGCAUGCGAAUGACCAUGCACUAGUACAGCCAGGGCCUUGGCAAAACAAAUGUCUUUCCUUGUGUUCUUUCAAUAUGUAGCUGGCUGCCUUGCUUGUUUACUUGUCCUGAGAACUAGAUCAUUUUCUCAGAGUUACGGUGCUAGAAUAUCACUUCUGUAACCUUUGUACUAUGGUAAGCUAAUUUCUUCAAGGUGAGUAAGACAUUUCAAAUGGGCUUGUGGCUGAAAAGCACUUAAAAACCUGGGGCAGGGGCAGCCCAUGCAAGGCCUGUGCGACACGUCACCUUUCCCGUGUGUGUGGUCUUCAGAGCAAACGUGAACAAUUGUGUAUUGUUUUGCUGUAGAGAUUCUGAGUAUUCAGUCCUUCGGAAGAACUAUUUUAACAAGGGUUUGGCAACAUAGAAACAUGAGGAGCACUCUGGCUCCCUAGCAAGAGGGAGGAGUACUUCAGUGGUGCUGAAUUCUCAUCUUCAGAGGGGUCGUUCUGCAGCCCUCUGCUGCAGAAGCUGGGAGCUUUGGCUCUUACCCCUAGCUUGAGGUGGCCACCCUUGCUGGAGGGUGUUCUGCAGGGACCCUGCUUUUUUCCUACCACUUCAAGUAAUUGUACUAUACAAAGCUAACCUAGUACAGUGGUGAGUAACCAGGGACCAGAUACAGCUUGUUUAGAUUUGAGAUAAAACCUACUGUUUAAUUUCACGAACUUCCUUGGUGAGAGCCGAACUCAGCUGUGUCCCUCGUCCUGGUCACUGCAUGGUCCUGUGCUCAUUACCUGGGGGUGGGGCAGGGCAGGGCGGAAUAAGGCUACUAUACGGACUUUAGGAGUGUAGCCUGCGGGAGGCAGUGAGGGGCCCAGCCUAGCACUGACUGAGGAGGGGGUCAUUUUAAAAAUCAGACUCUCUGCACUAUGGCUUCUGCCAAGAAGAGAAAAGGAACUGAUGAAAAUCAUGUGUUUCAAAGUAAGUAGACUGAGCAGUCUUAUUGUUUGUGCUGUGAUACUGUCAUUUGUCUGAUUAGCGAUAGAAAACAAUCUUAUUUUAAAGAGCAUAGUAGCUUGUAAUUUCGGUCAGGAAAAGACAAAUACACAGCCUCAGAAAACUCCUCUUCAGGGUAAAGCAAGUUGGUUCAGUGACUGGCGUUGUGGUGAGUCCCUGUAGGCUGUGUUCAUUAAAGAGUGUUGACAUUUUUUUAGCCCCCAAAAAAGGAAAGAAAAAAGAAGAAAGCUUCUAGUCACAGUAAAGCAGUACAAGAAUGUCCAGGUACAACUGCAGAUGUUGCAUUUCCCAACGAAAAGGAUGAUUUAUUAUGAAAAAAGAAAUUCACUCACAGUUUACUUUGAGUGAAUUCCCUGAAUUGACCUUAAGACCAAAAAAUAAAAAGACUGUUGUCCACGAGCACGUCUUAGGCCCACAGGUGCUCACAGCACCUUCCACACUGGGGUCCUCCUUGCCAGAUGGCCAUUCAUUCAUUCACUUCUUCCUCCAGGAAACUUUGGUUCAGUCCCUCUUGUGUGUUUACACCCAUUGCCGUAUCGAACCCUGACAACACCAUGAAGCAGAUACUAUUCUUGUCAUCCCUAUGUUGUAGAUGACGAAAUAAAACUGAGUCUCUAGCCUGUCCAGAGGUCAGAACCAGAUAAACAUGUAAGUGCCUGGCCCUUAGCCAUUUCUCCACGCUGGCUUCUUACAAGUCACUGGGAGGAGACAGAGCGCAUGCAGAGAACCACAUAAACAUAUUCAUGUAGUGGAGAAAUGAUUCAGACUUACACAUUUAAAAAUGUAUAUGGAUAUCUGUAUCGUUAGCUAGAUAACUGGCUUUUAGAAUGAUAAUCAGUGAAACAUUGCAAGAUCACGGAAUCUCCUCUGAAUCAUUAAGAAAAGAUAAAAUACCACGAACAUCUUUAGUGUUAAUGUGUGUUCAGUAAUUCUUUGGAGUUUUAUUUAUUAAGCCUACCAGAUUCUAAAGGCAUAUAAAAUGUAAUAAGAUAUGAGACACAUAGUGAAAUAUCAGCACAAAGGGAGAAUGAUAGUUGAAUGGUGAGAAAUGAAAAAGCAUUACAGCCUAGAGAUUCUGUUUUUAGAUGUGAGAUCUAAAUUAAAACCUGGCUUUCAUAGUCCUAAAGCAAAUGAGGACAUGAUACAGAUUACAAAAUUUACCUGAUUCCAUAGGUAAAUCCACAUUGAUGCUCCUUCCAGACUAUUCUCAGAGAAUUAUCCAGCGAUUCUGACUUUAUUCCUCACUUCCCAUUCACUCUUUUCCCCGUCUUGUGCUUUUUUCUUUUCUUUUUUUUUUUUUUUUUAAUUCAUGAAAAUAAUACAUCUAUAUGGGGGUUUUUAAAUAUCAAAAGGUAUUCCGUAAGGGAACAAUGUCUUUAGUUCCACUUUCUACACUUUUUGAUUCACUCUCUUCUUCUGGUAGCUACUUUUGUAUAUCUAAAUAAUAUGCUUUGCUGCUUUUUCUCGAUAUAUCAAGUUUCGGUGUGACCUGUUUAUAUUUGAUAUGAGCAUUGAGCUUCUGUACACCACCUCCUCCCCUCCCUACCUAAUGCUUCCACUGGAGUUAGGACUGCACAUCCUGUUCCCUGUUGCCCAGGCUGGGGAUGAGACUUAGCAUCUUCUAAAGUGUUUGCUAUUUGAGGGUGUGUGUGUGUGUGUGUGUGUGUGUGUGUGUGUGUACACAUUACAGUGUGCUUGGUCAAACCUUUUGCCCAUUGGGAUAUUUUUCUUUACUAUUUGUUUGUUAACACAUCUUUAUAUAUUCUAGAUUGAAGUUCUUUGUCAGCUGUAUGUGUUGCUAAUAUUUUCUCUUUCCUGUUCUGUGAUUAUCUUCUCAUUUUCUUCAUAGUUUCUUUUGAAUAACUGAAGUUCUUAACAAUUAUUCAAACUUAUCACUUUUCCUUUAUGGUUAGGGUUUUUUGCACAUGUAUCUUGUUUUAAGAAGUACUUCUUUACCCUGAGGUUAUGAUGUCCCCACGGGACAUCUGCAGAUAAUAUGUUAUCUUUUGAAUGCUUUAUAGUUUUACCUUUUAUAUAAAAGUCUGUUAUUCAUUUAGAGUCAGCUUUUGUGUAUGGAAUGUGUUAGGGUCUAUUUCUAUUUUCUCCACAUUUCAGGUAAUUGUCCUGGCCCUAGUUACUGAAAAGAACAUUGUUCACUAUAGUGCCCCCUUUAUCAGAAAUAUUCGUAUAAGUUUGGGUCUUUUUGUGGACUCUGCUUUCUUUUCCAUUCAUCUUUUUUGUCUAUCUCUGCACCAAUAUGAUGGUCUUAAUUACUGUAGCUUUCCAGCAUGCCUUGAUAAAGGAUAAGUCAGCUCUUCCAGUUUGCCUCUUCUUUUUUAACAGGUUAGGACUAUUUUUGGCCAUUUUAAUUUUUCCAUAAAAGUUUUAGAAUCAGCUUAUUAAAUUCACAUUUGGUCAUGCGCACACGCACAUACAUAUAUAUACCUGUACACAUACAAAUACCUCAUACACCACUAACAAAAACAAUUUAAAACUCUCACAUACUGAGUUAUUCACUGACAUUGCAUUGACUAAAAUGAAUUUGAUGAGAGUUGACGUACAGUACUGAGUUUCCAACCCAUGAACGUGUUGCAUCUGUCCACUUGUUUAGGGUUAUUAAUUUGCAGUUUUACUCUGUAUACUUCCUGAGCUCCAUUGCGUGGAUUUUGGCAUGUAUUAUUUUGUUACCAUUCAUUUCAAUAUGCUUUUCAAUUUUUAGUAUAACAACUUUUUUGACCUGUGGAUUAUUAGAAAUCCAUUUCUAAACAAUUCAGAAUUGUUUAGUUAUCUUUUGGAGCUUGAUUUCUAGUAUAAAUGCAUUGUGAUCAAAUAGCACCUACUUGGUAGCCUCUGUUUUAUGAAAUGUGUUGAGACUUGAUUUAUGACCUGGUAAUAUGGUCGUUUUUGCAAAUGUUCUAUGUGAGCGUGAAAAGCAUGUCUGUUUUCCAGUACUGGGGUAUAGUAAUUUAUAUACAUACAUUAGGUCAAGUUUGUAAAUGGUGGUGUUUAAAACUUUUACGUUUUUACUUAUAUUUUUGUCUACUUUGAUUUAUCAGUUAGAGAGAGAUGUUUUAAAAUAGCCUGUGAUUGUGGAUUCAUCUAAUUUUCUUUUCAUUAUAUAAAUUUUCCCUUUAUAUGUUUUGAGGCAAGGUUUUUAGGGAAAGGUGUACACUGGGUCCUGAGAAAUAGUCCUGUUAUCAUUAUGAAGUGACUCUCCUUAUCUCUAAAAGUUAUUUUCUGCCUCAUAUUAAUAUAGCUGUCCUGGCUUGCUUUGGAUUGGUAUUUACAUGGGAUAAUUUUAUCAGUUCUUUUAUUCUCAAGCUUUCCGUCUGAUGUGUUUCUUGUAUAAAGUACAUACAGUCAGAUGCCACAUAGUCAUGUUUUGGUCAAUACAGACCCGUAUUCAACCUUGGUCUCAUAAGGCUGUAAUAGUGUAUUUUUACUGUACCUUUUCUAUGUUUAGAUCCACAAAUGCUUAUCAUUGCAUUACAGUUGCCUACAGAGUAUUAAGUACAGUUACAUGCUGUUUAAAUGAUCUUUUAAAACCAAAAUCAGAGGAAUGAUCCUCUCUGACUCUCCCAUUUCCCACCCCGCCUUGCAUAAGCUCGCCCCUGUUCACAGAGCCUCCUGGACUGCCCAUCAUCCUCAAACUAGGCCUAGUCUGUCACAUUCUGAAAGAUCCCCUUCAUCUGUAUCCACUGUCAUUCUCCCCUUCCUCAGCAUUCCCCAGGCACACCGACAAUUCUAAGUUCCCGCGUGAAGGCAGCCGUCCGAGCGCAUCUCCGCCUGUGCUCCUCCCGGGCUUGGUCAUCCUUGUGCUUCACACCCAACAUCCUGUGUCUCUUCUCUCAUGUCCCAGCCCACACAGGGGCUCCCGCCAGUCCCUGCCAAAACUUGCUCUGUUCCUUCAGCUCGUCACAGGUUAUUGUUAAAUAUGUGUGCAUUUAUGUCUGGAUUACCUGCUGGAUUAGGUAAUUUUUAAGGACAGGGAUCAGUUUUUCUCUGUUUUUCCUCGGUAUGAAUAUACCAUUGUCUUGCAUGUAGUAGGUAACCAAAAAACAUUUCUUAGAUACCAGAAUGGGAAAAGGAAAGAACAAAUAAAUGAGCAAACAGCAGCUUGGUGAAAUAUGUGCGUGUGUGUGUGUGCGCGUGCGCGCGCGUGCGCAUGUGUAGUUAUUUAUUUAUUUAUUUAUUUGGCUGGGAGAAGGUGGUUCUAAGCCCAGGAGAAAUUUCUCCUAUGGGUUCUUUGACUCUGGUAAAUUAAGUAUUCUUGGUUUGUCAGUCAUAUUAUUUAAAAUUUGGUUUAACCCAUUUUUUCUAGUAAUUAACACCAAGCUUUCAUUGUACUUUUAGUAUUUUGUGUUAAAAAGUGAUAAGGUAUUUCGGGCAUGCUAAAACUAGGAAUCAGUGUUGAUGUCGAAUAUCCACUAAUAACAGUAUCCCUCUUCUCUGAGCACUCUGAAUAACGUCCUCCUUGGAAUAAGGGUGAGGCCUGGGAUGCCUUUGGAUAGAAGUCCACCCGUGCCCCACGGGACAUCUGCAGUCAGGACUGUGUAGAAGAUUCCUCUUUGUCGGCCACCCUGGGAGUUAGGAAAUCCAGGCUGGCCUAUCCGAGCAGACUGGAACCAAAACUGCCCCAAGGUAGGGAAUGGGGCUAGAAGGGUUCCUUUUCCAUUUCUUGGAGGUAGCUUUUAGAGACUACUGGGGAUUUCCAAAUCCAGGGAGAAGGCACCAGCUCCAAGGGGAAGCUUAACCCUGAAGGGCCGCCCUGGCUGCUGCUGCCUCAGGGACAUGAGCCCAGCUAGUGCCCAGCUGUUCACUCACCCAGCUCACUUUUGGGUCACCCACAGUAAUGACACAGUAGCCAAUGCCAUCGGAAAAUUCCAGCUCUGCUACCACAGAGACAAUUUCUUAUUUGUCAGUUUAUUGUGGGAUUUUUUUGUUGUUGUUGUUUCCAAAUAGAAACAGCUGAACUUUAUUUGAAGUGUUUUUCUUUCAUUCUUUUUUGAUCUGUGUUUUGAUCUGUUGUCCUUGAUGUGGGUUUUUUUGUUUUUUUUUUUUUUUUUAUUUUUUUUUUUUUGGGGGGAGGGGGCGGGGACAGGGUUAGAAUGAGAAUCCAGACUGGGUCACUCUGGGGUUUUUUUUUUUUUUCCUCUUCAUUUCUUUUUUAAAUUGAAACACCUAAUUUGUAAGAAAAUAGAAUUUACUUCCAUACAGAAAUGUAAGUUUAUAGGAAUAAUCACUGAACAGUAGUUUUCCCAGUAAUUCUAUGCUGAGGAAAAAUGGCACAGUGGCAAGGGCAUCAGCCCUUUGGCCAGGCAGACCCACACCCAAGUUCUGCCACUCCUUAAUUUCCGAGCAUUGCACCCAAUCUCUGUGUUUUAGCUUUGUCUGUAAAAUGGGACCUACCCCGACAGGGUUAUAGUGAGUGUAAAAUGUUGUCAUGCUUAUAAAGUGCUCAGAAACAGUUUCUCAACAGUCAAGUAUUUUUGUACAAAUAUCCUGUGUAGCUGUUCAUUCCUGUAGAAAGGUAAAUUUUCAUCUGUGAUUGCACUGUGGAUCAGUGGUGAAACUCAAAUAAUAAUAUCACCAAACAGAGUAGAGUCCAGAAACAGAUUCACACACACCCAACAAAAGCCUCACUGAAGUUCACUGAGAAAAGGAUAGCUUUCCCAUAAAUGGUGCUGGACCAGUUUAAUGUCCAUAAUGGAGAAAAAUGACCUGGGACUCCUAACUCACACCAUUCAGAAAUGUUGAUUCAAGAAGAAUUAUAGACCUCAGUGUGAAUGGUAAAAGAGUUUCUAGAAGAAUCACAGGAGACUUUGGUUAUUAUCUUGGAUUGGGCAGAGGUUUCUUAAGGCACAUAAAGUCUACCUAAAAAGCAGUAACUGUAAGAGAAAAGACUUUGAAAUUAUGUUUGCAUUACAUACAUCUGACAAAGGAUAAGGACUUUUACAGAAUAACAGGAAAAGAACCAAUUCAGUUUUAAAAAUGGACAAAAGACUUUCUUGCCAUUCCACAAGAGAAGAAAUGCAGAUGGUCAGUAAGCAUAUGGAAUGAGUUCAGCAUCAUUAGUCAUCAGGGAAGUGCAGAUUUAAUCCACAACAAGUAACCACUAGGCCCCACCAGAAUGGCUAAUAAAAGCCUCAACGGUACUCAAUGAUGGCAAGGAUGUGGAACAGCCUGAACUUUAAUACACAAUGGUGGGAUGUAAAUAGGAAGAAUUGCUUUGUAAAGCUUUUUAGUUGGGAGUGUCUGCUAACAUUAAACAUAUACCUGUCCUAUGAACCAGCAGCUCCACCCUAGUAUAUACCCCAAGAGAAAUGAAUAUACUUGUUUAUUAGAACAAGAGUCCCCAUCUCCCCAGCCACAGAUCUGUACUGGGCAGCACAGCAGGAGGUAAGUAAGCAUCACCACCUGAGCUCUGUCUCCUAUCAGAUCAGCAAGAGAUGAGCGAGCAUCACCACCUGAGCUCCGUCUAACAUCAAAUCAGCACGAGGUGAGCGAGCAUCACCACCUGAGCUCCGUCUCCUAUCAGAUCAGCACGAGGUGAGCGAGCAUCACCACCUGAGCUCCGUCUCCUAUCAGAUCAGCAAGAGAUGAGUGAGCAUCACCACCUGAGCUCCGUCUAACAUCAAAUCAGCACGAGGUGAGCAAGCAUCACCACUUGCGCUCUGUCUCCCGUCAGAUCAGUGACAGCAUUAGAUUCUCAUAGGAGGGUCAACCCUAUUGUGAACUUGCACAUGUGAGGGGUCUAGGUUGCAUGCUCCUUAUAAUGCAUGAUGAUUUGAGGUGGAAUACUUUCAUCUGAAACCACACAGACCCGCAACCCAUCAAAGAAAAAUUGUCUUCCAUGAAACCAGUCCCUGAUGCCAAAAAGACUGGGGACUGCUGCAUUAGGAGACAUGCGGGAGUGCUUAUUCUUCAGAGCCCCAAAGUGGAAGUAACCCAGAUGUGCAGUGGUGGCAUAGGGAAUUUAAUUGUUGUGUGUUCAUGUCAUGGAAUACCAUACAGCAGUAAAGAGGAGUGAUACAAGCCUUAUACUGAGUGAAAGAAGCCAGAUUCAAAAAGACCAUGUACUACUGUACAAUUCAUCUACGUGAAGUUCAGGAACAGGAUUCAUCUAUGGUAAUGGAAGUCAGAAUAAUAGUUAUAUGUGAUAGAACCGUAGGGAUUGGCAGGGAAGGAGGGUGCUGGACAUGUUUGAAGUCUUCCUCUGCGAGUCACGUGGAAGUACGCAUAUGAAAGAACUUACUUGAGGUGAGCAGUGCAGGUAGGACAUUCUACUGCACUCGUAUUAAAAUUGUUUAAGUCAUUUAUUGGAUGCUUUCUGUAUGCCAAAUCCUGGGCUACAUUUUCAGAAUAGUU